rnacentral:rRNA from 1 species
AGAUUUACGGUAUGAUGACUUUAUUUUAUACAUCCGCAUAGGGCGGAGGGUUCGAAUCUGUAGAACCGUAGUUCUUUGAAUUCGGUUCGUCUAUGUAAGCCUGCGGUGCCGCCGUUGGGGGGUAUCCCGUUGUGUGGUGGUAGUUUGGAUUCUCAAAUACAACAAUCUGCUGAAAUUCCUCUUCCGGGUACUUUGAUAUGAUGUACCACGAGUGGAUCAAUCCCGGGAUAUACCCCAAACAGCAAAGUGCGAGAUUGAUGAACGAGUCGGCAGAGCAAAUUCCCGUCUUGACCCAAACGGGGAAGGGCGGGAAAAGCACUGCAAUCAUCACAAGAAUUAAGUCACAGCAGCAGAGGCACAUGUUGCGAUGAUAGAGGCCAUCCGUACAUUUUGACGGUGGGGUAUUCCCUUCCAUUAUCUUCACACCAUAUAAACAAUUCUUUACCGAUUUGAAUACAAUGACUUUAGGAAGGCAUUAGGGCUUGUAUUUCUGUUGGAUACAGAACGUGAGUGAAGUAUAUAUUACUAACGAUUUAAUAGCACGUACUGCGUGAUCCAGUACAAUAGCGUACUGGAUAGGAAGAGGGUAUACUAAUACCUGCUUCCAUGUAGUGACGAAGGUAACUAGUCCUACGGAGAGAGUUUGAUUCGAAAGCAGUCGGCUCUCUUAGCAUAAGUCCAUACAAGAUGAUCGCUCCAUCGCUCUAUGCGAUUGACCGCAUAUGCUAACAACAUAUGUGUGGGGUCAUAGUAAUAUUGAGUAUACUUCCCCAGGAAGGCCGGAUUGGCCUGCGGUUACGAAAAGGGUAACCCGAAUCUCCCUUGGUGAGUUUUUGGUCGGAGGCAUCCGAUAUUAGAUUCAGAUAGCUGCAAGCUAUUGGUCAAUCCAUUAGUGCAGCAAUAGCUCGUAAUGUGCAUGAAUCUUGUCGCCAGAAUCAGAUCCGAAAUUGAUUCCGAGAUUCCGAGGCGUAUGCGAAUGACCUGAUUGGUUCCUCAAGGGUUCUGACUUCGGCGUUAGCGGCAUAAGGGAAAAAUGGCUACAUGCAGACGGUAGACGUAUAAGAUUGGUUUAGCAAUGCGACAGGGGGAUAGAAAGUUGAUAAAAUACUCACCAGAAAUCAUCACCAAAUAUAUUUCUCACCAUGGACAAUUCUAAUGCAAACGCUGACACAGACGCUGACAAUUUCUCUUUUCAGUGAGAUUUUCGAUGAUGAUUUUAGCCCAAGGCUUAUUAGGUCCGAAUUAAGUCAAGUAGAAGUGAACCACGUGGUCUCUGAAUGCGAUGUUGUUCAAAUAAUCUUGGCAAAUAAUCUUGUUCCAUUGGCCUAAUUAGUGACGCGUAUGAAUGGAUUAACGAGAUUCCCACUGUCCCUAUCUACUAUCUAGCGAAAUCACAGCGAAGGGAACGGGCUUCGCAAAAUCAGCGGGGAAAGAAGACCCUGUUGAGCUUGACUCUAGUUUGACAUUGUGAAAAGACAUAGAGGGUGUAGAAUAAGUGGGAGCUUCGGCGCCGUUGAAGUACCACAACCUUUAUCGUUUUUUAACUUAUUCAAUUAAGCGAAGCUGGACUUCAUUGUCCACGUUCUAGCAUUAAGGUCUCAUUGUAGGCUGAUCCGUGUUGAAGACAUUGUCAGGUGGGGAGUUUGGCUGGGGCGGCACAUCUGUUAAACGAUAACGCGGGUGUCCUAAGGGGGGCUCAGGGAGAACAGAAAUCUCCAGUAGAACAAAAGGGUAAAAGCCCCCUUGAUUUUGAUUUUCAGUGUGAAUACAAACCAUGAAAGUGUGGUCUAUCGAUCAUUAAGUCCCUCAGAAUUUGAGGCUAGAGGUGCCAGAAAAGUUACCACAGGGAUAACUGGCUUGUGGCAGUCAAGCGUUCAUAGCGACAUUGCUUUUUGAUUCUUCGAUCUCGGCUCUUCCAGAAUUCGGUAAGCGUUGGAUUGUUCACCCACUAAUAGGGAACGUGAGCUGGGUUUAGACCGUCGUGAGACAGGUUAAUUUUACCCUACUGAUGAAUGUCAUCGCAAUAGUAAUUGAACCUAGUACGAGAGGAACCGUUCAUUCGGAUAAUUGGUUUUUGCGGCUGUCUGAUCAGGCAUUGCCGUGAAGCUACCAUCCGCUGGAUUAUGGCUGAACGCCUUCAAGUCAGAAUCCAUGCUAGAAAGCGAUGAUUUCUGCCCUCGCGCAUUUUAGAUGGAUAAGAAUAAGGCACUUUGUGUCGCUGAACCAUAACAGGCUGGCAAUGGUGCUCUCAGCGGAAAGGCUUUGGGUGCUUGCCGGUGGAUUGCGAUUUAA